UACGUAGGGUGCAAGCGUUAAUCGGAAUUACUGGGCGUAAAGCGUGCGCAGGCGGCUGGUCAAGUCCGAUGUGAAAGCUCCCGGCUUAACUGGGAAACGGCAUCGGAAACUGAUCGGCUUGAAGGUGGGAGAGGGUAGUGGAAUUCCCGGUGUAGUGGUGAAAUGCGUAGAUAUCGGGAGGAACACCAGUGGCGAAGGCGACUACCUGGCCCACUCUUGACGCUGAGGCGCGAAAGCUAGGGGAGCAAACGGG
rnacentral:rRNA from 1 species